UGUGGGGGUCUUGGAACUUGUAGCCACGAACACCAACCUCUGCUGAGUGGACCAAUCAGAGGCGCUUCCUAUGCGGAACAGAAUCAGUUGGCCAAUCAGCGUUCUGUCUGCCAACGUUGGCUGGCGUGUGACGUCAUUGAUCAUUACCUGCAAUGCGGGGAGUAGCACGACAGAGAGACGAAGUCGAAAAAUUAGUGAAAAUACCGAGUAAAAGCAGCCUUUGAGUCUUCGCAUCGUCGUGUCGGUUUGUUUGCACUGUGAGGAAACUGAUUACUGAAGAAGUCUGGAGGCUAAAAACAAGCGUUGGAGCUGUAUUUGUCGAAGAAGAGUGAGGCUGGACGCCGAACACACCUGCAGCGCGAAGGUCUACUUCUUGGGUUUCUGCAGCCCAGAUGGAAAGACCAGUUCUCACCUUACACACCAAAGAGACUCAAACUUCAACCAGGAAACACUUCAGCUCACAGAGGGGAGAGACAUGAAGAUUUACAGGUGAUUUCACAGACACAACUGGAUUUGCUGAAGGAGGAGGAGGAGGGGAAGAUGACGUCAGCAGCACAAAUGAAGGUCUGGACCUGAAGUGGAAGAACAGUUAUGAAGCUGUUAAUGAGACAGAUACAUUUUUUAAAUGACAGAGUAUUCAUCUGAAACUUAGUAACCUCCAGCAUCUCCUGUUCCCUGCUGUUCAAGUGGAGACACUUUGUUUUAACUUCCCACCUGCUAAGUAACAACACUAUAAUGUAGUUAUGGGCACAUUU